UACGGAGGGUGCAAGCGUUAUCCGGAUUUACUGGGUUUAAAGGGUGUGUAGGCGGGUCUUUAAGUCAGUGGUGAAAUCUCCGAGCUUAACUUGGAAACUGCCAUUGAUACUAUUGAUCUUGAAUUCUGUUGAGGUGGGCGGAAUAUGUCAUGUAGCGGUGAAAUGCUUAGAUAUGACAUAGAACACCAAUUGCGAAGGCAGCUCACUAAACAGAUAUUGACGCUGAGGCACGAAAGCGUGGGGAGCGAACAGG
rnacentral:rRNA from 1 species